rnacentral:rRNA from 1 species
AUUGAACGCUGGCGGCAUGCCUUACACAUGCAAGUCGAACGGUAACAGGUUAAGCUGACGAGUGGCGAACGGGUGAGUAAUGUAUCGGAACGUGCCCAGUCGUGGGGGAUAACUGCUCGAAAGAGCAGCUAAUACCGCAUACGACCUGAGGGUGAAAGCGGGGGAUCGCAAGACCUCGGGCGAUUGGAGCGGCCGAUAUCAGAUUAGGUAGUUGGUGAGGUAAAGGCUCACCAAGCCGACGAUCUGUAGCUGGUCUGAGAGGACGACCAGCCACACUGGGACUGAGACACGGCCCAGACUCCUACGGGAGGCAGCAGUGGGGAAUUUUGGACAAUGGGCGCAAGCCUGAUCCAGCCAUGCCGCGUGCGGGAAGAAGGCCUUCGGGUUGUAAACCGCUUUUGUCAGGGAAGAAAAGGUUCUGGCUAAUACCUGGGACUCAUGACGGUACCUGAAGAAUAAGCACCGGCUAACUACGUG